AUUUUAUUUUACCAUAAUAUGGCAUAUAUUGUUGACAAGGCAACACUGUCGACCGUAUUCCGCUCGGAAUCGUUUUUUUCGUUAGCGACGGUUAAUCGUUGUUUAUACAGAUAUAUACAUUAAAUUACCCAUAACAGUGACUGCACCCGUUCCCAUUGUCCUAGGACAGCCAUUUCACCUUUCGUUUUUCCGGCGAACCAUCUGCAUACGGAGGUACUAGCCGCGUACUAGACGUUAACAACGGACGAGCGCGGAAACCGUUCGAUCCGCGUCAGU